rnacentral:tRNA from 1 species
UGCCCUUUCGCCAAGUGGUAAGGCACAGGACUUUGACUCCUGCAUUUCACUGGUUCAAAUCCAGUAAGGGCAG